UUUACCUUUCUUAUUUUGGGGAAAAAUAACACACAUGGCAGAGGAGAAUAACAGAGAAAGGAAGGAGGGGGACCAAAAAAGAAGAAGAAAAAAGAAGAAAUGUGCGUUUUGAAGCUUUAAUUCUCCAUUUCCCCAAUUUUUCCAUUGAUUUAGAGAGUUCACAGAGGAGCCUUGCCUGUGUACUACAUUGAUGGGUAGAUUGGGGAUGAAGGAGUCGUGGCUGUGUAUAUAUAGUUCACUAAGGGGCCUUGGCCGUAUUUUACAAUUGAUUAUCCGAGGUCUUUGAGACCCGCUUUCGUGUACAGAGGUGGCCAAAGGCCUGUGGUGAAAAUGCUUGACCCGAGAGGAGGAUUUCAUAUUUUAGUCAGAGGGUACAUUUUUUGUGGAUCACAUGUGAUGUGGCGAGAUGAUGGUAUAGAUAUCAGCUGAUGACUACAUCAUGAAUAUGAGAUGAUAUUUGUGAUCUGCCUAGUCAUACUACCAAGAAUUGUAACAAACUUCUGUUGCGCCUUGAUGCCAAUUGUGCUACUGCUACCUCCAAAAAUAGAAAAUGGCUUCUAGAUUCCACUGCCUCUCACAAUAUUACCUUUGAUUUGACAAAUUUGUCUAUUCACUCGGAGUAUGAUUGUCAAGAUGUUGUUCUUGGAGAUUACCUAUUUAAAAGUCACUCACAUUGGCUCAAUUUCUCCCUACUCAUGAUAAUAGUGUAAUGUUACUAUUAAAUUUUACCCUUUCCUUUUCUUUGUGAAGUAUCGAAUGAUGGGAGUGGUGCUCAUGCACGGUAAACGUGAUGCUGGAGUCUAUUUGGUUCGGUAGCACUAUGACCUCUCUCUAGUGAAGCCCAUGCAAUAAGCCUUAUUGGAACCUGAGUCUUUUUUUCACAAUGGCACCAUCGUUUGGGGCAUCCUACCCCCAAACUUUUAUCAUUGUUACUCUGCAAUUGUUAUUUACCAAUUUUCUUGUGAAAGUCCUCUUUGUCUUGUAUUUCAUGUCAAUGCAAUAAAUCUCGUAAAUUGCCAUUUACUUGUACUUUUCUUACAAGCCAUGCUUCGUUAGAGUUUGUGUAUGCCGAUGUUUGGGGUCCUUAUCCUGUUACCUUUAUUAAUGGCUUUUCGCUAA